CGAACAAAGCUGAUAGAAGCCCACCAUAAAAGAGUGCUAUAAUAAUAUUCCACAAAAACGUUGCCAACGAAUGAAUCAUUCCCGCAUCCUUCCUCUACGCACGCCAUUUUGUCGCGUCGAAUGUUGUCGUAAAAGUCAAGCACCGUUGGUUAACGGCGGACUCCCAUCCGCUUUGCAGUAAAACACUUAAAAGCGUUGGUUAGAACGUCUGGUUUCUUUUCCGUCGAACUCACCUGCCCCGGUGCCGCAGCACGGCGGGAUCCACCAGGCGGACGAGAACAAGGUGCUCAUCACCUCCUCGGGGAAGAGCGUGACGUUGCGUUGGAUUUGCAGCAAGUUGAGCACCAGGGCGAGGAUCACCCCCACGGCGAACAGCACCAGGCCGCGGCGGAUCAAGUUGAACGUCCGGUGGCGGUGCAGCGAGCCGCAGGCGCUGCUCAGCACCGACGUGAUGAUGGACAUCAUUUCCUCGCCUUUGGACGCCAACCAGUUGGUCGCAGACCACAACGGCGAGUGUUCGCGUUCCAAGUGGGAGAAGCUCCAAUAGUGCUCCUCCAGGCUGGACAUUUGGCACUGAAGGGGGAAAAAAAGGCCGUUCGUCUAUGGCAACUGAUUUGGAACUAGGAAGCACACCAAUUCCAAUGAAAGCGACCCACCUUAACUCGCCUAUGAAUACGUCAACAAUGUCACCAUCAAGCACACCAACGUGAUUUGGAAAGGUGCACAUACCAGUGUAAAAAACAGUCCAAUUCCUCUACCAACAACUACCGU